AAAAAAAGAAAGAAAAAAAAGAAGUGAGGGAGAGAGACACACAAAGACAAAAAGGAACAGAGAAUCCAAGCAGAGAGAUUGGAAGAUCCUGCUGCAACAGAGAGGAGGAAGCAGUAAAGAAUAACAUCUCCUUGGGGCAAAGCAGAGUAUUUCCUUACACACCAUACAGGCUGCGGAAGCAAGACACAGAAAGACUCCAAGACCUUAUCAAAAAAGCCAAGUAUCUAAAUAAGGAUGUAAGCAUCAUAUUUAGCCCCAUAAGCUGAACUAUCCUGAUUGUUAACUAUUGUGUUGUAGCUUAGUUUGUACAGAUUUGGCAGAGCUGCUCUGGAAGGAAGAUUUAAUGCCUGUGAUAGGAAACAAGCAUACAUCAGCAUUUUUUUUUUUUCCUUUUGUGUGGAUUUUUUUUUUUAGUACUAUUAUUACUUUUUACUUUAAAGGUCUGUGGCUAAGUGUUUCAUACCUACUCUCUGCAAUUGUGUUGCAUUCAGCCUGAGCAACUGUUCUGAAGUGCCCUGCUUUAUUCAUUUGUUUUCGGUGUCAUGGCUUGAUCCCUGGUAGAGCUUUUCUUGGUAAAGUCGUUAAGAUCCA